rnacentral:rRNA from 1 species
UACGAAGGGGGCUAGCGUUGUUCGGAAUCACUGGGCGUAAAGCGCACGUAGGCGGACUUUCAAGUCAGGGGUGAAAUCCCGGGGCUCAACCUCGGAAUUGCCUUUGAUACUGUAGGUCUCGAGUCCGGAAGAGGUGGGUGGAAUUCCUAGUGUAGAGGUGAAAUUCGUAGAUAUUAGGAAGAACACCGGUGGCGAAGGCGGCCCACUGGUCCGGUACUGACGCUGAGGUGCGAAAGCGUGGGGAGCAAACCGG